rnacentral:rRNA from 1 species
UACGGGGGGGGCAAGCGUUGUUCGGAAUUACUGGGCGUAGAGGGCUCGUAGGUGGCCAACUAAGUCAGACGUGAAAUCCCUCGGCUUAACCGGGGAACUGCGUCUGAUACUGGAUGGCUUGAGUUUGGGAGAGGGAUGCGGAAUUCCAGGUGUAGCGGUGAAAUGCGUAGAUAUCUGGAGGAACACCGGUGGCGAAGGCGGCGUUCUGGACUGCAACUGACACUGAGGAACGAAAGCCAGGGGAGCAAACGGG